CAUGAGAAUGAUUGAGACGGUCAAUCCCCACACCCUCUUCGGCAUAGGUAGCCGUCAAAUAAUGCUAGUCGAGCGACGGACGAAAUGAGCUUGCUUCUCUGAUGUUAGCGUUGCGGACGGGUGAGUAACACGUGGAUAACCUACCUAUAAGACUGGGAUAACUUCGGGAAACCGGAGCUAAUACCGGAUAACUAUUCUUGAACCGUCACUUGGUCUCAAAAGUGAAAGACGGUCUUGCUAGUCACUUAUAGAUGGAUCACGCGCUGUCAUUAGCUAGUUGGUAAGGUUCUUAACGUUGCUUACCAAGGCAACGAUGCAUAGCUCCACCGCUUGAGAGGGUGAUCGGCCAUUCACUGGAACUGAGACUUACGGUCCAGACUCCCUACGCGGAGUGCAGCAGUAGGGAAUCUUCAGCGCUAAUGGGCGAAAGCCUGACGGAGCAACGCCGCGUGAGUGAUGAAGGUCUUCGGAUCGUAAAACUCUGUUAUUAGGGUAACGAAUCAUAUGUGAUAAGUACACUGUCGCACAUCAUUGACGGUACCUAAUCAGAAAGCCACGGCUAACUACGUGCCAGCAGCCGCGGUAAUACGUAUCGGUGCGCAUUUCAGCGUUACUCCUGGAAUUCCAUUGGGCGUAAAGCGCGCGUAGGCGGUUUUUUAAGUCUGAUGUGAAAGCCCACGGCUCAACCGUGGAGGGUCAUUGGAAACUUGGAAAACCGCCUAUGAGUGCAGAAGAGGAAAGUGGAAUUCCAUGUGUAGCGGUGAAAUGCGCAGAGAUAUGGAGGAACACGGCAGCUGGCACGUAGAUAGCCGUGACUUUCUGGUCUGUAACUGACGCUGAUGUGCGAAAGCGUGGGGAUCAAACAGGAUUAGAUACCCUGGUAACAGAGUUCCACGAUCCGUAGAACUUGAUGAGUCACGCUAAGUUGUUCAGGCAGGUUUCCGCCCCUUAGUGCUGCAGCUAACGCACUUAAGCACUCCGCCUGGGGAGUCACGACCGCAAGUUGAAACUCAAAGGAAUUGACGAGGACCCGCACAAGCGGUGGAGCUAUGCUUGGUUUAAUUCGAAGCAACGCGAAGAACCUUACCAAAUACCUAAUGACAUCGCUUUGACAACUCUUAGUGAGAGUUAGACAGUCUUUCCCCUUCGGGGACAAAGUGACAGUUGUUGCAUUGUUGUUCGGUAUCAGCUCCGUGUUCUUGAAGUUAUCCCAGUGUUAUAGGUAGGUUAAGUCCACCUGUUACUCACCCGAGCGCAACCCUUACAGCUUAGUUGCCAUCUCAUUUAGCUUUGGCACACUCUUAGUUGACUUGCCGUGUAACAAACCCGAAGAGGGUGUGGGGAUUGACCGUCUCAAUCAUUCUCAUG
rnacentral:rRNA from 1 species